GGGUUCAUACAAGUGGUGGAACAUGUGGUUUAAUGCGAUAAUCCGCGCGAAACCUUACCAGUUCUAGACAUUUUCUUUUUUUUAAGAUUAAAAAGAUAAUCAGGUGUUGCAUGGCUGUCGUCAGCUCGUGUUGUGAAAUGUUUGGUUAAGUCCUUUAACGAGCGCAACCCUUGUACUUAGUUGACUUCGGUGACUCUAAGUAGACUGCCCACUAGGAUAGUGGGAGAAAGGUAAGGAUGACGUCAAGUCCUCAUGGCCCUUAUGAACUGGGCUACACACGUGUUACAAUGGUAAGAACAAUGAGAAGCGAUCUUGUAAAAGUGAGCAAACCUAUAAAUCUACUCUAAGUUCGGAUUGUAGGCUGCAACUCGCCUACAUAAAGAUGGAAUC
rnacentral:rRNA from 1 species